rnacentral:ncRNA from 1 species
UCUUGAAACACGGACCAAGGAGUCUAACAUGUGCGCGAGCCGCGGGGCAGUACGAAACCCGUAAGGCGAAAUGAAGGUGAACGCCGGCGCGGUCCGGCGGAGGUUGGAUCCCGUCCCGUCGGGGCGGGCGCACUACCGGCCGAUCUUCUCCGCCCUGUCGGCGAGGUCGAGCGAGAGCGUGCAAGUCGGGACCCGAAAGAUGGUGAACUAUGCCUGAGGAGGUUGAAGCCAGAGGAAACUCUGGUGGAGGACCGUAGCGAUUCUGACGUGCAAAUCGAUCGUCAAAUUUGGGUAUAGGGGCGAAAGACUAAUCGAACCGUCUAGUAGCUGGUUCCCUUCGAAGUUUCCCUCAGGAUAGCUGGCGCUCUGUCGCAGUUUUAUCUGGUAAAGCGAAUGAUUAGAGGUCUUGGGGGCGAAACGCCCUCAACCUAUUCUCAAACUUUAAAUUGGUAAGAAGCCCGACUCGCUCGUUUGGAGCCGGGCAUGGAAUGCGAGUGCCAAGUGGGCCACUCUUGGUAAGCAGGACUGGCGAUGCGGGAUGAACCGAACGCCGGGUUAAGGCGCCCGACGCGACGCUCAUCAGAGCCCACAAAAGGUGUUGGUUGAUAUAGACAGCAGGACGGUGGCCAUGGAAGUCGGAAACCGCUAAGGAGUGUGUAACAACUCACCUGCCGAAGAAAUCAUCCCUACAAAAUGGAUGGCGCUGGAGCGUGCGGCCUAUACCCGGCCGUCGCGGUGGUACCAGCA